AAAAGUCAUGAGAAAACAAGGGCAAAUGAAAAUGAGUCAAGAAAAGUAGUAGCUAAACAAAAGAGGGCAGUAGCUCUAACCAAAGAGAAAUGCAUCCAAGCUUUUAUUCGGCAUGUACUCAUAAACCAACAUCAUCUCUUCUCCUUCAACACAGCAACCAAGAAG